GGAAUGACGGGGGCCCGCACAAGCGGUGGAGCAUGUGGUUUAAUUCGAUGCAACGCGAAGAACCUUACCAGGUCUUGACAUCUGUGGAACCUCUAUGAAAGUAGAGGGUGCCUUCGGGAGCCACAAGACAGGUGCUGCAUGGCUGUCGUCAGCUCGUGUUGUGAAAUGUUGGGUUAAGUCCCGCAACGAGCGCAACCCUUAUCCUUUGUUGCCAGCGGUUAGGCCGGGAACUCAAAGGAGACUGCCAGUGAUAAACUGGAGGAAGGUGGGGAUGACGUCAAGUCAUCAUGGCCCUUACGACCAGGGCUACACACGUGCUACAAUGGCGCAUACAAAGAGAAGCGACCUCGCGAGAGCAAGCGGACCUCAUAAAGUGCGUCGUAGUCCGGAUUGGAGUCUGCAACUCGACUCCAUGAAGUCGGAAUCGCUAGUAAUCGUGGAUCAGAAUGCCACGGUGAAUACGUUCCCGGGCCUU
rnacentral:rRNA from 1 species